CCCUUUGGGUGUGACUGCGUACCUUUUGUAUAAUGGGUCAGCGACUUAUAUUCUGUAGCAAGGUUAACCGAAUAGGGGAGCCGGAGGGAAACCGAGUCUUAACCGGGCGUUAAGUUGCAGGGUAUAGACCCGAAACCCGGUGAUCUAGCCAUGGGCAGGUUGAAGGUUGGGUAACACUAACUGGAGGACCGAACCGACUAAUGUUGAAAAAUUAGCGGAUGACCUGUGGCUGGGGGUGAAAGGCCAAUCAAACCGGGAGAUAGCUGGUUCUCCCCGAAAGCUAUUUAGGUAGCGCCUCGUGAAUUCAUCUCCGGGGGUAGAGCACUGUUUCGGCUAGGGGGCCAUCCCGGCUUACCAACCCGAUGCAAACUGCGAAUACCGGAGAAUGUUAUCACGGGAGACACACGGCGGGUGCUAACGUCCGUCGUGAAGAGGGAAACAACCCAGACCGCCAGCUAAGGUCCCAAAGUCAUGGUUAAGUGGGAAACGAUGUGGGAAGGCCCAGACAGCCAGGAUGUUGGCUUAGAAGCAGCCAUCAUUUAAAGAAAGCGUAAUAGCUCACUGGUCGAGUCGGCCUGCGCGGAAGAUGUAACGGGGCUAAACCAUGCACCGAAGCUGCGGCAGCGACACUGUGUGUUGUUGGGUAGGGGAGCGUUCUG
rnacentral:rRNA from 1 species